AUUUGCAAUAAAAAUGUUAAUUCAUACUUAAUUCUUUAUUAGCAUCUUAGCUCUUUCACUUACCAGCUAUGUGACUUGGCAAACUGACCUCUCUCAGAUUCUGUUUCCUCAUGUGUAAAAUAGGGGCAUUCACUCAGUGUAGAGGUAAUUUGUAUCAUCGACCAGAUAUUUCCUGCCUGUCCCCACACACCAUAGGGUUGUACUCUCUGUCCUGACCCAUUAUGGUUGGGUGGUUCCAGGCAACUAGUUGCGAACAAGGAAUUCUGAGCAGAAGUGAUGAUUGUCAUUUCCAGGCUGGAGCUUUAAAUUGCAGAUCGGAGAGUCUCUGAGCCCCACUUCCCUCUGCUGCUGGCAAUUCUGUCAGCCCAGGAGCUACAGAGCAGGUUCCAGAGCUACCCAUCAAAGGACAUGGAGAUGGCUAGAAAUAAAACAAUUUCAUUCUGAAUGAGAACAAGAUUGCUAAACAUCACUCUUGGAGCAAUCUAGGAUUCACGUCUCCAUGUUCUGGACUCAGAAUUUAAAUGGGCAAACGAAUGCAGAAGACUUUCAGACCACUCUCCCUUCUUUGUAUGUCUGGCUUCUUCCCAUCUCCCAAAUUCAACAUUAAGAUCAUAUUCUUACAUAAAGUUCUCCAUGACUGUUAAGCAAUUUGGGCCUAUGUAGUUCAUUGGAAUGCAACACAUGGGUAUUUCAAAGUCAAGUGAUUAGAAAACUAUGGGCCCCAAAUACUGUUCAUGGAAAUAUGCCUCCAUAGUAAAUGCUGUCAGAGCACCUGUGCCCUUCCUAGCUUCUGCUGGCCCAGUCUUCUGAUUCUUUUCCUCACUGAAUAGCCUCUUAUAAAGCACCUGCAACUCUCCCUGGGGGCUUUCUCUGGCUGCAGGAGCAUGACACAGGGUGCAGGGAAGGCUGGAAAUAUCUGUGAGUUGAUGCCUCCAGAAGCAGCCCUCAAUACCCAUCCAGUGGGAAGUUUUGGAUAAAUAACCUCAUGUUUCCCAUGGGGCAACACUGAGGCAUGUUAUGCAAAGUCUCCCCAGGGUCCCCAAAGUCCUGAGUUCCCACUGACUGCCACAGUGGUAAUUCUGCUCAUUAGCAUAUCUUUGAUAAAUUUUCCUCCCUUCCUUGUCUCACUUCCUUACUCACCUUUGAGUGGUUCCUAGGAUCACCCUCCAGAUGAACUACUUGUACUCACACCCUUAUCUCACAGUCUACUUCUGGGGAGACCCAAGCUAAAACAGCAUUUUCCCACAUGAGAAAAUGAACCCAAUAUAAAAAAAAACUGUAUUAAGAGGAGCAUGAACCAACAAUGGCUGAUGAUUAAGAAGAAUAGCUGCAGGUAAAAACUAUAGAUAACACCACCAGGGAUGCACUGAUCAGGUUUUCCCCAAGCCUAGGAAUGCCUAGUAUCUGUUUGUGUGCAGCUGUGAAAUGUUUAGUGGAAGCUUUCAUUGGAAUCCUGAAUUACUGUUCCUAGUAAACUCCAAAAUCGUGUGAUCUAAAAUGUAUGAAUACCAAAUUUUAGUAACAGUGAAUUCUUCAUAUAGUAGCUUACUAGUAUGUAGCACUUGUUUAUAUAUAAAAAAUAAAAUGAUACAUGGCAUAUUACUUGCUCAUAAUAAAGAAAAAAACUCAGUG